rnacentral:rRNA from 1 species
UGGCUCAGAACGAACGCUGGCGGCGCGCCUAACACAUGCAAGUCGCACGAGAAAGUGGAGCAAUCCAUGAGUACAGUGGCGCACGGGUGAGUAACACGUGGAUCAUCUACCUCUUAGUGGGGAAUAACCCUGGGAAACCGGGGCUAAUACCGCAUAAGCUCGAGAGAGGAAAGCAGCAAUGCGCUGAGAGAGGAGUCCGCGGCCGAUUAGCUUGUUGGCAGGGUAAAAGCCUACCAAGGCAAAGGUCGGUAGCCGGCCUGAGAGGGCACACGGCCACACUGGAACUGAUUCUCGGUCCAGACGACUACGGGAGGCA